rfam:Pteropus alecto contig165514, whole genome shotgun sequence.
GUCUAUGGCCAUGCUAUCCUGAACAAGCCUGAUCCCGUCUGAUCUCGGAAGCUAAGCAGGGUCAGACCUGGACAGUACUUGGAUGGAGAUCACCUAGGAAGACCAGGUGCUGUAGGCA